GGUGCAAAUGAUGUUUUUAUUUAGCGAUCAAAGCAUGAGAAUUUGUGAUUAUCACUACUUUAUACUGAUGCACC